rnacentral:rRNA from 1 species
GACGAACGCUGGCGGCGUGCUUAACACAUGCAAGUCGAACGGAAAGGCCCUGCUUUUGUGGGGUGCUCGAGUGGCGAACGGGUGAGUAACACGUGAGUAACCUGCCCUUGACUUUGGGAUAACUUCAGGAAACUGGGGCUAAUACCGGAUAGGAGCUCCUGCUGCAUGGUGGGGGUUGGAAAGUUUCGGCGGUUGGGGAUGGACUCGCGGCUUAUCAGCUUGUUGGUGGGGUAGUGGCUUACCAAGGCUUUGACGGGUAGCCGGCCUGAGAGGGUGACCGGCCGCCUGUGGGCCGGGGCACGGCCAGUGACCCGAGGGGAGGCGGGGGUGGGUAGCUGUGCAUAGUGGGGGCCACCCGGGUGCGGCAAGCGCGGGGGUGGGGUGCGGGCCUUGGGCCUGUACCCCGUAUUGGCGUGUGACGGGGCGGGGGGGACGGUAAGGAGUAGGACAGCACCGGGAAAUGACGGCCCAGCGGCCGGGGUAGUAGGGGGCAGAGCCGGGGUCUUACC